GCUUGGGGGUGGGGGCUUACUUGGACAAGCUCGGUGAUGUGGUCGUCUGGUCCAAAUGAACGUUGCCUCCAAAAAUAGAGCGCAAAUUGAGAGGUGAAACCGAGGAGCAAUGAAUUCUGUAGCUCCGAAGCUGUAUGCCGAUGAUGUCAGCCUUGUCAUGGUAGUGUUGGACACCAAUCCAUUCUUCUGGACCACCUCCUCUCUUCCAUUCUCCAAGUUCCUCUCCCAUGUACUUUCGUUUUUGAACUCGAUAAUGUUGCUCAAUCAGUUCAAUCAAGUGGUGGUUAUUGCUACCGGAUAUAAUUCCUGCGACUACAUCUACGAUUCUUCUCUGGCUACCGACCAUGGCUCUGAGAAUGGAAAAAUGCCCGCGCUUUGCUCCAACUUGUUGCAGAAACUGGAGGAAUUCGUGAUCAGAGACCAGCAACUGCGCAAGGAUGGCUCGGGUGAAGGGCUUCCUUCUUCACUGGUUUCGGGCUCCUUGUCCAUGGCUCUUUGUUAUAUACAGAAGGUUUUUCGAUCAGGACCACUCCAUCCGCAACCACGGAUUUUAUGCUUGCAAGGAUCCCCAGAUGGACCUGAACAGUAUGUUGCAAUCAUGAAUGCAAUAUUCUCUGCACAACGUUUGAUGGUUCCUAUAGAUUCAUGCUAUAUAGGUUCUAAUAAUUCUGCAUUUCUGCAGCAGGCAUCGUACAUAACAGGCGGUGUGUAUCUGAAGCCUCAACAACUUGAUGGUUUGUUUCAAUAUCUAUCCACAGUUUUUGCAACUGAUUUACACUCUCGAAGAUUUUUACAGCUUCCUAAGUCUGUUGGUGUGGAUUUUCGUGCCUCGUGUUUUUGCCAUAAAAAAACAAUCGACAUGGGCUAUGUGUGUUCUGUUUGCUUGUCCAUAUUCUGCAAGCAUCACAAGAAAUGUUCCACUUGUGGCUGUAGCUGUGGCUUUGGCAUCAUGCAGGUCAGUAUUUGGUCAGGCCCAGGCAGAUGCAUCUGGAUCUAGUCGAAAGAGAAAGAUUUCAGAGACAUGAUCUAACUUUUUGUUAGAUGCAAGAUCUGUAGGUUAUUUAUAUCUUCUGGUCUCUCUUGUAGCUGUUCUGCAACAUAUUUCUUUGGAGACAAUCUACAACCCAUACUGAAGAGUUUGAUUCACUUAGUCCACUGUUGGGGCCGCACAAGAAUUUUUUCAUUGUGAAGUAAUAUUUCAAAUGUUAUCUUCAAAGCUUUAGCUGUUUUGUUGAGGAGAAAUAGAUCAUGUGCACAUGAGCAGGCUGAUUGAACGGUGUGAGAUCUGGUAGUAUUUGGUCUUCCUUUCUGCCCAUGGUCUUCCUUUGUAACCAUUGUCAUAUUCCCUUUCUGAAGGAGAGCGUUUGGUUGUCCCCAAGGGAUGCCUCUGUUCAGUGUUCAAACAAUUUUCGCCCUUUUUUUUUUUUUUUGGGGGGGGGGGUCUUUCUUUAAACCCUAACUUGAGUUAACUGGAUAUAUUAUUUUUGUGCUUGGUUAGAUUUUUGUAUCCCUUUUGAUGAUUUCAACAUUUUUGCUGCUUGAAAGUUUUGCUUAUUUUGGCAUUUUGCCAAAAUCAUUCAUGUU